rnacentral:lncRNA from 1 species
CUUUCUUGUUAAUAUAUACAUAUAGAAUUAGGCUGGAAUACUAGUGCUAUUAAGUUUUCUGCCCCUAGAUUAAAAGAUGUGCGGUUAGAAUGAUGUCAGUCCUCUAAGGUUGAGUGGGUGGUUAGUUGAAUAGUAUAAUCGAACGGACGAAAAUGAUAAAAAAGAUAAAUCUAACGGCAGAAAACUUGAUAGUACUAAAUGCUCUAUGCUAUAAAUAGUAUCCCAGUCGGACUCAUAUAUUUAUAUACUAUACUAUCGGGAGUAUAGAGAAUUUGAUACUUCCGACUUUUUGACCCUUAUGUUAAAAAUUAUUUGGUUAGGAUGAUUGCGGUCCCUCCAGUAUUGAGCGGUCCCCAUAUGAUAAUAGUAUCAAUUCAAAUAUUAAAAUUAAUUAAAAGGGUUGAUA